UUUUGGCUCGUAGAUUCAAU
rnacentral:piRNA from 1 species